GUGGGGAAUCUUGCGCAAUGGGCGAAAGCCUGACGCAGCCAUGCCGCGUGAAUGAUGAAGGUCUUAGGAUUGUAAAAUUCUUUCACCGGGGACGAUAAUGACGGUACCCGGAGAAGAAGCCCCGGCUAACUUCGUGCCAGCAGCCGCGGUAAUACGAAGGGGGCUAGCGUUGCUCGGAAUUACUGGGCGUAAAGGGAGCGUAGGCGGACAUUUAAGUCAGGGGUGAAAUCCCGGGGCUCAACCUCGGAAUUGCCUUUGAUACUGGGUGUCUUGAGUACGGGAGAGGUGAGUGGAACUCCGAGUGUAGAGGUGAAAUUCGUAGAUAUUCGGAGGAACACCAGUGGCGAAGGCGGCUCACUGGCUCGAUACUGACGCUGAGGUGCGAAAGCGUGGGGAGCAAACAGGAUUAGAAACCCGUGUAGUCC
rnacentral:rRNA from 1 species